UACGGGGGGGGCAAGCGUUGUUCGGAAUUACUGGGCGUAAAGAGCGCGUAGGCGGCUAAUUAAGUUGAAAGUGAAAUCCCAAGGCUUAACCUUGGAACUGCUUUCAAAACUAGUUAGCUUGAGAUCGGUAGGGGACAGUAGAAUUCCUAGUGUAGAGGUGAAAUUCUUAGAUAUUAGGAGGAAUACCGGUGGCGAAAGCGACUGUCUGGACCGUUUCUGACGCUAAGGCGCGAAAGCGUGGGGAGCAAACAGG
rnacentral:rRNA from 1 species